GUAUAAUCUAUUUUAUUAUCAUUAUUUUUCAGUUUGUAAGUGCUUUAUUGGACAAAAAGUUACAAAGAAUGAGGAAACCAGGGCCAACAGCUUAAAAUGACUUGCCCAGAGUCAUCCAGCUAAUAAGGGUCUGAAGCCAGAUUUGAACUUAUGAAGAUGAAUCUUCCUGACUCCAGACUAGCACUCUAUCCACUGAUCUGCCUAGAUGCCCACUGUAAAUCAUAUGGUAUUACAUUUCAUUCUAAGAACUAUGGAAAACUAAGUGCAUCUUGAUGGUCCUGGGAAACUCUUGGAUGGAGGUUGCUCACUUCAUUAAUAGUCCUCUGGGAUCAUGGCCAGUCAUUAUUUUGAUCAGAAUUCUUAAGGCUUUCAAAGUUUAUUUUUAAAAUGUUAUUAUAUAAAUUGUUGUCCUGAUUCUUCUCACUUCACUCUGUGUCAGCUCAUACAGAUUUCCUUAGAUUGCUCUGAAAGAUAUCACAAUUU
rnacentral:lncRNA from 1 species